rnacentral:lncRNA from 1 species
AUAGCUUCACGGAGGCUAGCCGGCCAAUUCCGUAAGUUGCAUCUCAUUAAUAUUUAGAAGCAUCCACAACACCAUCGUCUGCGCCAAAUAACAUACCCCCCUCCUACCACACACACCAAAUUAUAUUCUAUUGUUUCUCAUAAUUUCAUUGUCAGGAAUGCACAUUGUACGUGCACUAGUUUUUGUUUCAUUUUUAUUUGUUUCUUUUGGCAAAUUUAUUUUGCCUGAUUGAGCACUUGUAACAAUCCAGAUAUAGGGAACCUCAUGGGCCCAUCACGAUAUGUUUAUUCAUAUCAUGAAAUAAAUUAUACUACGAUACUUGUCAUUCUUCUAGUUGAUUAUUGUGCAUGGUUGACUCAUUCAACUAUGCUUCACUUGAAACUCUAGAGCGCUUCUUCGAUGUUGUAUGUUACCGGCCUUGCGGCACAGCGCCACAUUGCUCUUCUCUAGCAGAUUAGACUAAUUGUAUUAAUAUAUCCUUACCUCUUCACUCUUCUUGUCCAUGUGCAUGCCAUGCAUUUGGUGCUGAUAAGUUGGAUGCAUGAAACCAAACAUGGUCGCUCAGUCGGUCUUAUAUAUGGGCCUCAACUCACCUCACUCACAUGCAUGCACGACCAAUCGACUAGCUAGUUCUUGUCAAUCAGAUUUAAUCAACAAAACAAUGAAUAAAUGGUACGAGCAGCAAGCUAGCCUUAGAGUCUUCCAUGGAUGACUAAAUUUCCAAACCAU